GUGUGUCGUGAGGCAUGCUGGAGGUAUCAGAAGUGCGAAUGCUGACAUAAGUAACGAUAAAGCGGGUGAAAAGCCCGCUCGCCGGAAGACCAAGGGUUCCUGUCCAACGUUAAUCGGGGCAGGGUGAGUCGACCCCUAAGGCGAGGCCGAAAGGCGUAGUCGAUGGGAAACGGGUUAAUAUUCCCGUACUUGGUGUUACUGCGAAGGGGGGACGGAGAAGGCUAUGUUGGCCGGGCGACGGUUGUCCCGGUUUAAGCGUGUAGGUGUGUGUUCCAGGUAAAUCCGGUUCACUUUAACACUGAGGCGUGACGACGAGGCACUACGGUGCUGAAGCAACAAAUGCCCUGCUUCCAGGAAAAGCCUCUAAGCAUCAGGUAACAUCAAAUCGUACCCCAAACCGACACAGGUGGUCAGGUAGAGAAUACCAAGGCGCUUGAGAGAACUCGGGUGAAGGAACUAGGCAAAAUGGUGCCGUAACUUCGGGAGAAGGCACGCUGACACGUAGGUGAAGUGAUUUACUCAUGGAGCUGAAGUCAGUCGAAGAUACCAGCUGGCUGCAACUGUUUAUUAAAAACACAGCACUGUGCAAACACGAAAGUGGACGUAUACGGUGUGACGCCUGCCCGGUGCCGGAAGGUUAAUUGAUGGGGUCAGCGCAAGCGAAGCUCCUGAUCGAAGCCCCGGUAAACGGCGGCCGUAACUAUAACGGUCCUAAGGUAGCGAAAUUCCUUGUCGGGUAAGUUCCGACCUGCACGAAUGGCGUAAUGAUGGCCAGGCUGUCUCCACCCGAGACUCAGUGAAAUUGAACUCGCUGUGAAGAUGCAGUGUACCCGCGGCAAGACGGAAAGACCCCGUGAACCUUUACUAUAGCUUGACACUGAACAUUGAGCCUUGAUGUGUAGGAUAGGUGGGAGGCUUUGAAGUGUGGACGCCAGUCUGCAUGGAGCCGACCUUGAAAUACCACCCUUUAAUGUUUGAUGUUCUAACGUGGACCCGUUACCCGGGUUGCGGACAGUGUCUGGUGGGUAGUUUGACUGGGGCGGUCUCCUCCUAAAGAGUAACGGAGGAGCACGAAGGUUGGCUAAUCCUGGUCGGACAUCAGGAGGUUAGUGCAAUGGCAUAAGCCAGCUUGACUGCGAGCGUGACGGCGCGAGCAGGUGCGAAAGCAGGUCAUAGUGAUCCGGUGGUUCUGAAUGGAAGGGCCAUCGCUCAACGGAUAAAAGGUACUCCGGGGAUAACAGGCUGAUACCGCCCAAGAGUUCAUAUCGACGGCGGUGUUUGGCACCUCGAUGUCGGCUCAUCACAUCCUGGGGCUGAAGUAGGUCCCAAGGGUAUGGCUGUUCGCCAUUUAAAGUGGUACGCGAGCUGGGUUUAGAACGUCGUGAGACAGUUCGGUCCCUAUCUGCCGUGGGCGCUGGAGAACUGAGGGGGGCUGCUCCUAGUACGAGAGGACCGGAGUGGACGCAUCACUGGUGUUCGGGUUGUCAUGCCAAUGGCACUGCCCGGUAGCUAAAUGCGGAAGAGAUAAGUGCUGAAAGCAUCUAAGCACGAAACUUGCCCCGA
rnacentral:rRNA from 2 species